rnacentral:rRNA from 1 species
CAAGUCGCACGGGAGCCGCAAGGCUCUAGUGGCGCAAGGGUGAGUAAUGUAUCGCUAACGUACCCUGGACACUGGGAUAGCUGCCCGAAAGGGCAGGUAAUACCAGAUGAAAUAACUAUCUCGCAUGAGGUGGUUCUCAAAGGAGCAAUCCGGUCUGGGCGCGGGCGAUAUCGUAUCAGCUAGUUGGUGAGGUAACGGCUCACCAAGGCGACGACGCGUAGCCGGACUGAGAGGUCGGUCGGCCACAUCGGGACUGAGACACUGCCCGGACUCCUACGGGGGGCUGCAGUAACGAAUCUUCCCCAAUGGGCGCAAGCCUGAGGGAGCGACGCCGCGUGGAGGAUGAAGUCCUUCGGGAUGUAAACUCCUGUCAGGGGUUACCAAGUUCUGAGGAGCCCCAGAGGAAGAGGCGGCUAACUCUGUGCCAGCAGCCGCGGUAAGACAGAGGCCUCGAGCGUUAGGCGGAAUCACUGGGCUUAAAGCGUGUGUAGGCGGAUCGUUAAGUGCCUUGUGAAAUCCCACGGCUUAACUGUGGAACGGCUGGGCAUACUGGCGGUCUUGAGCCAUCUAGGGGCGACUGGAACAAACGGUGGAGCGGUGAAAUGCGUAGAUAUCGUUUGGAACGCCAAUGGUGAAAACAGGUCGCUGGGGAUGAGCUGACGCUGAGACACGAAAGCCAGGGGAGCAAACGGGAUUAGAUACCCCGGUAGUCCUGGCCCUAAACGAUGUCCACUAGAUCGCAGGACCUCUGACGGUUUUGCGGUCGAAGCAAAAGUGCUAAGUGGACCGCCUGGGAAGUACGGUCGC